rnacentral:rRNA from 1 species
AUGAGUUGGAACGUUCGUGGUUUGAACUCGCCGGCGAAGCGAGAAGCGGUCCGCGAGGUUGUUGUCGCGCACCGCGCCGCCAUCUUGUGUUUGCAGGAGACCAAGAUCGAUGUGUGGACGCCGACCCUUGUGCACGACAUCGGCGGCCAAUCCUUGCGGGGCUGUGCGGUACUGUCAGCCAUGGGCACUCAAGGCGGCAUAGCCAUCCUUUGGAAUCAGGACUUAGUCGACGUGGUCACUCACGAUGUAGGCCAGUUUGCAAUCACUGUAAAAGUUAGCCUAGCUAGGCACCAAUAUCAGUUCUGGUUAACCUCUGUCUACGGGCCGACGGAUGACGCAGGCAAAGAAGCUUUUCUAGCAGAAAUCUCAAACUCCACCCCGCCAUGCUCUGAGCCAUGGAUUAUAAACGGAGACUUCAACCAAAUUUACGAGGCUAGGGAGAAAAACAACCUAAACCUAAAUAGAAGGCUCAUGGAUCGUUUUAGGGCCGCCAUAGAUAUAGCCGGGCUACGCCAAAUAAAAUGU